UGGCUCAGGAUGAACGCUAGCGACAGGCUUAACACAUGCAAGUCGAGGGGAAACGACAUCGAAAGCUUGCUUUUGAUGGGCGUCGACCGGCGCACGGGUGAGUAACGCGUAUCCAACCUGCCCACCACUUGGGGAUAACCUUGCGAAAGUAAGACUAAUACCCGAUGAUAUCUCUAGACGACAUCUGAAAGGGAUUUAAAGAUUUAUCGGUGAUGGAUGGGGAUGCGUCUGAUUAGCUUGUUGGCGGGGUAACGGCCCACCAAGGCAACGAUCAGUAGGGGUUCUGAGAGGAAGGUCCCCCACAUUGGAACUGAGACACGGUCCAAACUCCUACGGGAGGCAGCAGUGAGGAAUAUUGGUCAAUGGGCGAGAGCCUGAACCAGCCAAGUAGCGUGCAGGACGACGGCCCUAUGGGUUGUAAACUGCUUUUAUAAGGGAAUAAAGUGAGUCUCGUGAGACUUUUUGCAUGUACCUUAUGAAUAAGGACCGGCUAAUUCCGUG
rnacentral:rRNA from 1 species